GUCUCUGGAAGACCAGGUCAUAAAUGUUUUACAGCAGAACGAGGACCUGAGAGUUCGGAUUGACAACCACAAAGCCUUGUACAGCAGCUCUCCAAGGAGCACCAGGACCUCCAAGGGACGUUAGACAGGCAGACAGGUCUCUGUCAGAGGCUCACACAGGAGAAAGAGCAACUCAUGUUUAAACUGAAGCACAGAGACUCCUGUUCUACCUUCCCAUCCUUCCCCAUAGUGUCUGAGAUCUCCCCCAGCUGAUCCACCCAGACCGAACAGGACAAUCGGUUACUUCUGUCUUAAUCCUGUGUAGGGUUGCAAGCAUGGAUCCGUUAACUUUCCCAAAUUUCUAAAAUGUUUUUUUUUCAGUAAUCCCUGAUUUGGAGGAUUCCAAGAAUUAGGACGUAGCAAUAUGCAAGGAGGGAUUUCUCAAACCUGGAAUUCUUCAAGUCAAAUUUCUGAAAGAUCUGGGGAUUUUKGGAACGUUUCAGGACUUUUGCAACCCUACUGUAAUCCUACUUUGACAACCAAAGUCCAGGUACCUUUACAAAGGGCUAUAGUCACAUGUUUGAUGGAACCUGAUGCCAAAAAAUUUAGAUUAUUUUUUUCUUCCAGUGUUAUACCUGCUGUGCCUUACAGUACAUAAUGUUUCUGUAGCAGUAUGGUAUUCAUACCACAGGACAGUUUUUUUUGGGGGGGGGGGGCAUUGGGCACAGCCAUGCACUGUUGGACUUAACUGACACCCUGCUGUUCAGCUGAUAUUAUAGAGUAGAUCUACAGUAGAUCAGAGUUUCUCUCCUCCAUAAGGAAUAGCCUGGUCCUUGACAGUACCAACGGAUCAGCAACUAGGCUAGGAAAUCACAUGGAACGAUUUCACCCUCGUAGGGGCAAGCAAAGUGUUCACUUUGAUGGUUUGAAUUGCAGUUGGAGAGGCAGAUGUUCAAUCAUGUAGUACGUAGCUAGUAGCUACAUCUUUUUUUUAAUCUACCUUCUUCCUGAGACACUAUUACGAUGUCUGUCAAAGUUUUACGUCACUGAAUAUGGAGUAAAUGUUGCAGUAUAUACAAUUUAAACAGUUACUUUAGACAACUGCUUUUGUAUUAGGGAUAUGUUAUACUUUUUUGUUUCAUACAAUAUGGGAAAUGGAUUGCCAUGGUUAUUUUUAUUUUUGCAGAUGAGGACAAUGGGUAUUUUUGUGACUUUUUUUUAAGUUACAAAGAACCAAAAGCACUUCUCAGUGUUUUUAAUUUGCAUUUCUUCUGAAGCACUAGCACUUUUAAUCAGUAUUUUACUAGUACUAAAUAUGAGAGAGGUUGCUGUAAAAAAUAUUUUUGUUUACUCUUGUUUACUCCUGGGUUUUACAUUGUUUGUUUACAUUGACAUUUUAAUAAUUUAGCCAACGCUCUUAUCCACAAAGGCCGCGGAGAGAUCUAAGAGGAGAGAGAGAGAGCUUGAGUUUCAAUAAACAUCUGUAUCUGAACCACUGUA